rnacentral:rRNA from 1 species
GAUGAACGCUGGCGGCGUGCUUAACACAUGCAAGUCGAACGGAAAGGCCCAAGCUUGCUUGGGUACUCGAGUGGCGAACGGGUGAGUAACACGUGGGUGAUCUGCCCUGCACUUCGGGAUAAGCCUGGGAAACUGGGUCUAAUACCGGAUAGGACCACUUCUUGGAUGUUGUGGUGGAAAGUUUUUUCGGUGUGGGAUGAGCUCGCGGCCUAUCAGCUUGUUGGUGGGGAAAUGGCCUACCAAGGCGUCGACGGGUAGCCGGCCUGAGAGGGCGUACGGCCACAUUGGGACUGAGAUACGGCCCAGACUCCUACGGGAGGCAGCAGUGGGGAAUAUUGCACAAUGGGCGCAAGCCUGAUGCAGCGACGCCGCGUGGGGGAUGACGGCCUUCGGGUUGUAAACUCCUUUCGCUAGGGACGAAGCGUUUUGUGACGGUACCUGGAGAAGAAGCACCGGCUAACUACGUG